rnacentral:rRNA from 1 species
UACGGGGGGGGCAAGCGUUGUUCGGAUUUACUGGGCGUAAAGGGCGCGUAGGCGGUAGCACAAGUCAGUUGUGAAAUCUCCGGGCUUAACUCGGAAAGGUCAACUGAUACUGUGCGACUAGAGUGCAGAAGGGGCAACUGGAAUUCUCGGUGUAGCGGUGAAAUGCGUAGAUAUCGAGAGGAACACCUGCGGCGAAGGCGGGUUGCUGGGCUGACACUGACGCUGAUGCGCGAAAGCCAGGGGAGCGAACGGG